CCAGACUCCUACGGGAGGCAGCAGUGGGGAAUAUUGCACAAUGGGGGAAACCCUGAUGCAGCGACGCCGCGUGAGCGAUGAAGUAUUUCGGUAUGUAAAGCCCUAUCGGCAGGGAAGAAACAGACGGUACCUGACUAAGAAGCCCCGGCUAACUACGUGCCAGCAGCCGCGGUAAUACGUAGGGGGCAAGCGUUAUCCGGAUUCACUGGGUGUAAGGGGAGCGUAGACGGCGACGCAAGUCUGGAGUGAAAGCCCGGGGCCCAACCCCGGGACUGCUCUGGAAACUGCGGCGCUGGAGUACGGGAGGGGCAGACGGAAUUCCUAGUGUAGCGGUGAAAUGCGUAGAUAUUAGGAGGAACACCAGUGGCGAAGGCGGUCUGCUGGACAGCAACUGACGCUGAGGCGCGAAAGCGUGGGGAGCAAACAGGAUUAGAUACCCGAGUA
rnacentral:rRNA from 1 species